rnacentral:rRNA from 1 species
UACGUAGGGGGCGAGCGUUGUCCGGAAUUAUUGGGCGUAAAGAGCGUGUAGGCUGUUCGGUAAGUCUGCCGUGAAAACCUGAGGCUCAACCUCGGGCGUGCGGUGGAUACUGCCGGGCUAGAGGACGGUAGAGGCGAGUGGAAUUCCCGGUGUAGCAGUGAAAUGCGUAGAGAUCGGGAGGAACAUCAGUUGCGAAGGCGGCUCUCUGGACCAGUACUGACGCUGAGGCACGAAAGCGUGGGGAGCAAACAGG